GGCUGGUCCGAAGGUAGUGAGUUAUCUCAAUUGAUCGUUCACAAUCAGUUACAGAUCAAACUCCUUGUUCUACUCUUUCUCCCCUUCUCACUACUGUACUUGAAUACUCUUAA
ensembl:Y_RNA Y_RNA Y RNA